UGUUCUAGGCUCAUGCGUGUCUGCGCGCGGGGCUGCUCCAUUCCCGGCUUAGAGGACCAGGACAAGGGCUAGCCGCCGCUGCAUGCUGGAGGCUGUGGCUGCGGCACCACAGCUCGCCUCACUGCGGUUGGUGGCAGCGACGGAGACUGCAAUGUGGCUGGAGUGCUGUGGUCAUGGACAUGUUCACCCAUGUGGACAUCUUCAAAGACCUGCUGGACGCCGGCUUCAAGAGGAAAGCAGCUUUGUACAUCAUCGUGGAUGAGAGUAAAGUCAAGUACGUUCUGCAUAUGUGUGAGCGGACCCGCAUGCACCUGGGGCACCUCAAGGUAGAAACAGAACAGAAAGCCAUUCUUGAUUUUGGUGACUGGAGUUGUGGAGGCUGGAAGUCUCUGCCAAUAAAAGCACUGAACCGGACACACACCACUUACCAAUCAAGUUGAUUCUCAAUGUUAGCACCGUGGCCUGGCAAGAUCGGACGUUUUCCGAGGAACCCGGCUGAGCUCCUGUGAGAGCUGCUCCCUGCACUGAUGUGGUCCCUUGGCUGGCAGGCUGCUCUGUGAUCAACCAGGUGACACCUGCCUGUUAUGAGGGACAGGUAGGAGAGGAUGGGCUUUCCAUCAAAACAAACAAACAAACAAAAAGUCCCAAGAAGGAACUCGGCUCUUCAGAGAUUCAGGACUCAGGAGAAGACUUCGUGGUGACAGUUGACGUAGAAGUUGACAGCCCAAACCCCACACCAGUUCUUAGAAGUAUUGAUCUCCAAGAAAGAGCAGAAAGAGCUACAACUCCUGCUCCCAGGGACUUACAGGUCCCAGAAUGAGAAAGUCCCUCUUUAGUGGAUCUAGAGAAUCUAUUCGUUAAACCUGGAGAAGAACAUGAGGUUAUAGUUUCUUUUUCUCCAAGGGAUCCCAAAGUUUGGGAGUAAAGGAUCUAAAAAAUGUUUGUGCAGCCAUCUGGACCUCAGUAUGAAGUGGUGUUAAAAGGUGAAGUCCAUUCUUCAGGAAGUAAACCUCUGCCACGUGGAUCAUGCUCAGACAUCCUAUUGAAGUUUGUCCAACAAUUUCUUGCUUUGGAAGGUGUCCCUCUUGGUGGAACACAGUUUCACCUUUUGCUGGAACUCAGAGCUACAAAUGAUGCUUAAUGUACCAACGCCUUCUGACUGAGCUCCUCUCUGCCCUGAAUACAAGAGACCCUAAUAGUUAUGUGGAAAUAUCAUCGCCCCGUUCAGCAUGAAGAAGUUACAAAAGACGGACCUUCAUCCUUCUGCAACCCUUAGGAUUAAGGGUCCUCUUGUAAAAGGGAGGGGAAAUAUGUAAGAAGCAUUCAAACGAGAGCGACUCCAUUUUGAACAAGGGCUAAGAAAAAUGAAGCUGGGUCCUUUUGGGCUGCAUGCCCAGGAGGUUAAGCAUUCUUAGCCUCAAGAUGUUUACAAUUGAGGCAACAGAUUAAUAAUGUUUCCUAAACAGACUCAGGACUUAACAGACUCAGGAACGUCUUGAUACUUUGAGAACAAAAGCACUUCUAGUUUUAAAUACGCAUUGUACCUAGGAUGGAUGCUUUUCUUACUUUUGGAAAUGCCCUACCCUGUCUAUGGAGUCACUAUUCAUUCCCUCCUUUAUUAAAGUUGCUUCUAUUUUGCACUGUG